UGCGUAGGUGGUUGUACAAGUUGGUAGUGAAAUUCCGGGGCUUAACUCCGGCGCUACUACCAAAAACUGUAUGACUUGAGUGCAGGAGGGGUAAGUGGAAUUCCUAGUGUAGCGGUGGAAUGCGUAGAUAUUAGGAGGAACACCAGUGGCGAAGGCGACUUACUGGACUGUAACUGACACUGAGGCACGAAAGCGUGGGGAGCAAACA
rnacentral:rRNA from 1 species